GAUGAACGCUGGCGGCGUGCCUAAUACAUGCAAGUCGAGCGAACAGACGAGGAGCUUGCUCCUCUGACGUUAGCGGCGGACGGGUGAGUAACACGUGGAUAACCUACCUAUAAGACUGGGAUAACUUCGGGAAACCGGAGCUAAUACCGGAUAAUAUAUUGAACCGCAUGGUUCAAUAGUGAAAGACGGUUUUGCUGUCACUUAUAGAUGGAUCCGCGCCGCAUUAGCUAGUUGGUAAGGUAACGGCUUACCAAGGCAACGAUGCGUAGCCGACCUGAGAGGGUGAUCGGCCACACUGGAACUGAGACGCGGUCCAGACUCCUACGGGGGGCAGCAGUAGGGAAUCGUCCGCAAUGGGCGAAAGCCUGGCGGAGCAACGCCGCGUGAGUGAUGAAGGUCUUCGGAUCGGAAAACUCUGUUAUUGGGGAAGAACAAAUGUGUAAGUAACUAUGCACGUCUUGACGGUACCAAAACAGAAAGCCGCGGCUAACUACG
rnacentral:rRNA from 1 species